AUUCUGGCUCAGGACGAACGCUGGCGGCGUGCCUAAUACAUGCAAGUCGAGCGGACAGAUGGGAGCUUGCUCCCUGAUGUUAGCGGCGGACGGGUGAGUAACACGUGGGUAACCUGCCUGUAAGACUGGGAUAACUCCGGGAAACCGGGGCUAAUACCGGAUGGUUGUUUGAACYGCAUGGUUCAGACAUAAAAGGUGGCUUCGGCUACCACUUACAGAUGGACCCGCGGCGCAUUAGCUAGUUGGUGAGGUAACGGCUCACCAAGGCGACGAUGCGUAGCCGACCUGAGAGGGUGAUCGGCCACACUGGGACUGAGACACGGCCCAGACUCCUACGGGAGGCAGCAGUAGGGAAUCUUCCGCAAUGGACGAAAGUCUGACGGAGCAACGCCGCGUGAGUGAUGAAGGUUUUCGGAUCGUAAAGCUCUGUUGUUAGGGAAGAACAAGUGCCGUUCAAAUAGGGCGGCACCUUGACGGUACCUAACCAGAAAGCCACGGCUAACUACGUGCCAGCAGCCGCGGUAAUACGUAGGUGGCAAGCGUUGUCCGGAAUUAUUGGGCGUAAAGGGCUCGCAGGCGGUUUCUUAAGUCUGAUGUGAAAGCCCCCGGCUCAACCGGGGAGGGUCAUUGGAAACUGGGGAACUUGAGUGCAGAAGAGGAGAGUGGAAUUCCACGUGUAGCGGUGAAAUGCGUAGAGAUGUGGAGGAACACCAGUGGCGAAGGCGACUCUCUGGUCUGUAACUGACGCUGAGGAGCGAAAGCGUGGGGAGCGAACAGGAUUAGAUACCCUGGUAGUCCACGCCGUAAACGAUGAGUUAAGUGUUAGGGGGUUUCCGCCCCUUAGUGCUGCAGCUAACGCAUUAAGCACG
rnacentral:rRNA from 1 species